CAGCAGCCACGGUAAUGCGAAGGGGGCUAGCGUUGUUCGGAUUUACUGGGCGUAAAGGGCGCGUAGGCGGGCUGAUAAGUCAGGGGUGAAAUCCCAAGGCUCAACCUUGGAACUGCCUUUGAUACUGUUUGUCUUGAGUUCGAGAGAGGUAAGUGGAACUGCGAGUGUAGAGGUGAAAUUCGUAGAUAUUCGCAAGAACACCAGUGGCGAAGGCGGCUUACUGGCUCGAAACUGACGCUGAGGCGCGAAAGCGUGGGGAGCAAACAGGAUUAGAUACCCCCGUAGUCCCUGUCUCUUAUAC
rnacentral:rRNA from 1 species